rnacentral:tRNA from 1 species
CCUGUAGAGUAAUGGAUAGCGCUUUGGACUUCUAAUCUAAAGGUCGUGGGUUCGAAUUCCACCUGAGGGG